UAUUUUCUCUCCUUACUUCAACAGGGACCAGCUGAGUACCGCUGCCUGCCGUUGUGUGGCUGCUGUUAUUUAAGGAAAGUCUGACUAGCUGUGUCUCCUCAACCCAGAAUCUGAUGUGGGGAGGCAACCUUUCUACUCCCUUUCCCUAUUCUCAUCCCUGAAUAGCCAGCUAUCACUCUUCUGAACUGGCUGCUUUUAGUUGUCUUCUGGGUGUUCUCGGGUUGGGUUUUUCCUUUGUUAUUAUUCAUGUUGUUGUUCUGACUGGCCUUGUUAUUGAUGUAAAACACUGCGUAGUAAAAUGAAUUGUUAAUUGCUGAACCUCUAAAGAGCAGACAGCAGGCUGCUUACAGCAGAUGCGGGAGGCUGUCAAGAACUGUCAGGACGCAGCGUCAGAUCAAUCAUACGCUGGAGUUUUACAUCAGAAGAUUCAUUAACCAUCAAGAUAUCAUGUGAGAGGAAACGAGUGAGGGGAAGGGUGAAGCUUCACAAGAGCAGCUACUACCAAGCUCCUUCAAGACCCCACCUGCCUAGGCGUAAAAAUAGGAAAUAUGUUUGUUGUGGUCAAUGACAAAACGUAACGCAAUCAGCAGACUUCUACACCCAGAACGUAAACAGAAGGCAACACGAGCGAACGUAUUUGUGCUUAUGGUGAGAUUCAGG
rnacentral:lncRNA from 1 species